AGCCCGGGGUUGGGGGGGAGGAGAGGACGCCUCGCGCAGGGCCGGAGCCCGCAAACGGGGUUUGAACCGAAUAGUGCGAAUCCCGGAUUCCUCCUUUUCCUUGACCGAUGGAGUCACCAGUAGUUUGGACUUGGAAAGAAAAACCUCCUUUUUAUUUAUUUUCUCAUAUGUUCUGUUCAUAACCUCCCUGUUACGGGCGUGACAGCAAACUUCCCCCAUCACCCCUGCGGCCAUCCCAAAAUGAGCUUUUGUUUCAGGGAGAAUCUCAGCGUCGUUAAGCUGCUGUCAGAGGUAGGAUUUGAACUCAGAUGUUUGUGGCUCCAUGUCAGCAUAUGAUCAAAAACUCCAUCAUGAAAAGAAUUGAAAGAAUUAUCUGCAUUAUUAAAGCAACUAAAGAUUGGUUUAAUCAACUAUGGAAAAUUUAUUGCAUGAAACACACAUAACCAUCAUCCAGGGAGGUGGCAGCUGUGGAGGGAGGACCAGCCACAACUUCCCAGCUGCUACCCAAAGGGCAGGCAAGUCAGCCCAGCUGAAGCAGCAGGCACUCUGAGGGAGAGACAGGAAGCAACAUGUGCCAGGCCACCAUCCCCACCACCGCUACUUUGAUUCUCAUCCCCCCUCAGAUCCUGAUGGAGCUGGCCCAGGACCCUGAGCCCAAGAGCCUUGGGAAAAGCAAUACUCCCCUCUCAGUGUCUUCAGUCAUCAUCCUGGGAAGUAAUUCCUGUGGAGAUACAGCCUGGACACCACUCCUGCAGGUGCCACCAAGGAAAGAAAUUUUUUGCCAUUGUCCAAUGCCAAAGUCCUUGGCAUUGUCAAAUUGUUUAACACCAGAAGCCAAUAUGAUUUUAUUAGUGGAAAGGUCAUUAAAGAAGAGGCAUUACUGCUUUGUGGUGGUUUUGCUGCUACAUCCUAAGGACCAUGGGACCUUUCCAUCUGACGGUCAGGUGAGAACUUAAACAAAUGUUGUCUUCCCUAUUAGAAUGUGAGCUCCUUCAGUGGCGGGGACUGUCCUUUGGAUUUGUAUACCCAGAGCUAAGCACAGUGCUUUGUAUAAAGUGCUUAAUAAAUACUUCAUUCAUUCAUUCAUUCAUUCAUGUAGAGAGUAUUCUGCCCAUCUUGGUGACUUUAAUCAGGUUUCAAGAAGGUGAACCUAUGUUUGAGACUUUGGAGGGUGUGGUUGUGCUCAUUUGGCACUUUAUGCAAAGGGCUAAGGACAUCUGGCCUUGGAUACUUGUGUACUGUCACAACUCAUUGACCUUAUGAGUCAGUGAUUGGCUAUCAUGUAUCAUAGCCAUUCCCUUUGUAAUGAGUCUAUUAAAGGGAAUCUUCUGGACAGAGUUGGCUUUCAGGCUUAGAACUGAAAGAACUAUUUACAGACCAGUGAACCACAGCAGAGCUAAGAAUGGACCUGGGUCCUGUGGGUGAGUGGGGAAGGCCUCUGCAUCUGCACAGCCUCUCCCUUGGGAGCUACGAAGAGCAAAGUGACAUUGUCAUUACCCAUUCUCUCACCCCUGUGGUCUAAGAGGUGGUGGUGAGAGGGAAUGGCGGAGUGUCUGAGCCUUGUGACCCUUGGAGAGGAUGGAGCACUUGGCAUAGCCUCCUGGUUGGAAGAGGAGGGAUUUCCUGAACAAUGCUGAGCUCCUGGAGAGUUGUGGGAUUCACAUGUAUUAGAGAAUGAAGGAGGCAUUCCUGGGCAGUGCCAGGCUCUUAGAGAAAGGAGGAUGGAUCACACAGCCCCAGAGCUGAGGUAACAGCCAGGAUGCAGAGGAGCAAAAAUCUGGAUUUUACCGUCUGCUACUACCCUGAAUUAUGUGGACAGUUCAUGUCCAAUAAGGAAGAAGAUUGCAUGUCUAGCAAUUGUGGGUCAGUCUUUUCCCACUCUUCAUGGCCCCAUUUGGGGUUUUCUUGGCAGAUGUGCAGGAGUGGUUUACCAUUUCCUUCUC